rnacentral:rRNA from 1 species
UACGAAGGGUGCAAGCGUUCCUCGGAAUUCCUGGGCGUAAAGCGUGCGUAGGUGGUUUGUUAAGUCUGAUGUGAAAGCCCUGGGCUCAACCUGGGAACGGCAUUGGAAACUGGCUUACUAGAGUGCGGUAGAGGGGUGUGGAAUUCCCGGUGUAGCAGUGAAAUGCGUAGAUAUCGGGAGGAACAUCUGUGGCGGAGGCGACACCCUGGACCAGCACUGACACUGAGGCACGAAAGCGUGGGGAGCAAACAGG